UUUCCGUAGGUGAACCUGCGGAAGGAUCAUUAAAAAAUUGGACUCCAUUGGUGAGUUCAUUAAUAAUCCCUACCCUUUGUGAAUUUGUUUGUUUGAAUAAUUUUUUUUCCAAAAAAAAUUAUUGAAUGUCUUUCCUUGUUUUGGUGGAGCUUGUAAAGUGAAACCAGGCAGGGGAAUGGCAAACAAUAAUUAUUUUUGAAAAAGACCUUUUUUUAAAAUUAAACUUUUUGUAUUCAUUUGUCUAAAAUUAAUUUUUAUAAUAUAAAAACAACUUUUGACAAUGGAUCUCUUGGUUCUCGCAACGAUGAAGAACGCAGCAAAAUGCGAUAAGUAGUGUGAAUUGCAGAAUACGUGAAUCAUCGAAUCUUCGAAUGCAUAUUGCACUUUUUUAGUUUACUAAAAAAGUAUGUCUGUUUGAGUAUCAGUAAAAUAUUCUCAUAAAAAACAUUGUUUUUUUUAUGGUUAUGAGUGUUUUACAACGAUAACAAGUUGUUUCACUUUAAAUUCUUUGUUAUCAAAAAAUCAUUAAAAGCUAAUUUUAAAGAUUUUUUAAAAUUGGAUAAAAUUUUCCCGUAAAAAGGAAUAACCUAAACAAUUUUAAAAAAUUAAAAUUGGUUUGAUUUUUUUUGAAACCCAAAGGAAAAAAAAACGAAAUUAACUUGAUCUCAAAUCAGAUAAGAGUACCCGCUGAACUUAAGCAUAUCAAUAAGCGGAGGAAAAGAAACUAACUAGGAUUCCCUCAGUAACGGCGAGUGAAGCGGGAAGAGCUCAAAUUUGAAAUCUUCAAGGUUUUACCUUGACGAAUUGUAGUUUAAAGAAGUGUUUUCUGUUGGAGUUUUGGUAAAAGUUCUUUGGAAAAGGACAUCAUAGAGGGUGAGAAUCCCGUAUUUGACCAUUAUCUCCAGCUUUGUGAUACACUUUCAAAGAGUCGGAUUGUUUGGGAAUGCAGUCCAAAAUGGGUGGUAAAUUUCAUCUAAAGCUAAAUACUGGCGAGAGACCGAUAGCGAACAAGUACCGUGAGGGAAAGAUGAAAAGAACUUUGAAAAGAGAGUUAAACAGUACGUGAAAUUGUCAAAAGGGAAGCGUUUGACACCAGUGUUGUUUUCUCGAAAAUCAAUUAAAAAAGGCCGGAUUUUGUGUUGUAUUGACUUUAUCAGCUUUCUGCACUCUUUUCUUGUCUUUUUUAAUGCACUUUUCGUUUAACAAGUCAACAUCAAUUUCUUUUGUUGUAAAAGGGUCAUUGGAAGGUGGCUUUCUUUUCGGAGAAAGUGUCUAUAGCCUUUGGCCUCUGCAAUCGGAGAGAUUGAGGUCUGCAGCGUAGAUCCUUCGGGGUUAGAUACAUUUGUGCUAAGUUAUAGCCUUUCAUAGACAACUUGUUGACUAUGAUCAGUCAUGUAGCUUACUCGCUUAUGCUAUUUUACCUACGCUUAGGAUGUUG
rnacentral:misc_RNA from 1 species